UUUUGUUGUUGCUUUUCCUCAUUUUGGAAGUUGUUUAGGACGGGGCAUCUUGGUGUGUCCUGCUCUCGCCUCUGAUGCUUCCUUCCCAGUGGGAGUGGGUGGGAAUACUCAGAGACACAGAAUUGUGCCCACGCUGAUGUGGGUGUCACAGCCACUGUCCCCAAGAAAACAAACCCACCCACACAUACUCACGAGCACCCCCGUGUCUGCAGUGUUGCUGCCAUGUCGCGUUCCUGUUGCCUUCGUUAUCCCUUCCAUGACCCGCGGGCCCUUGCCACCCUGACCCUGUGGCCUCGCCGCCUCCUGCCCUGGCUGGGCCCUCUGUUUGGAUCCUCCUUCUCUGAGUCUACUCUCGUCCUCCCUCCUCUCCUGGCUCCCAUCUUGUGAGGCCCCUACUUUGUCCUCUUCCUUCCCCUAGCACUCCCUUUCCGAUGUCCUCUUUCAGUGAUUCUCAUUCUCUGUCCCUGCUGAGCGUGGGCUGUAGGAGAGCAGGAGGUGUCUGUCUGGUUAAGGCUGCUUCCUGGGCACUGGAGUCAGCGUCCCCUGAAUGAGUAAAUAGACGAGGGAUCCCCAGCCUUUGAUGGGUCAAACAGUAAAGCAGAUGAAAGAUGUGUGUGUUUCAUGGGUGUGGUUUCUGCUUCUGCCCCCAUCACGGAGCUGUGGGUCUCUGUGGGACGUGCUGUCCUGCCUGGCCAGGCUCUCACCCUCACCAGCAGUGCGUGUGGACCUUCUGCUGUGUGCACAGAUGGGAACAAAAGGUCACUAGCAUGGUGCUGGUCUUACCUUAGACAUAGAGCUUCCACCCGGCCAAUGUGUUUCUCUAUGUAUGAGGCUGGGUGCAAGGCCUGCUGGAUUCAGCUCAUCACUUAGGCCUGUUCUUUGCCAGGUUACCUGUCCUGCUGCCGAUUCCUGGAUGACAAUCAGAUCGUCACCAGCUCUGGAGACACCACAUGUGCCCUGUGGGACAUCGAGACCGGCCAGCAGACGACCACGUUUACCGGACACACUGGAGAUGUCAUGAGCCUUUCUCUUGCUCCUGACACCAGACUGUUCGUCUCUGGUGCUUGUGAUGCUUCAGCCAAACUCUGGGAUGUGCGAGAAGGCAUGUGCCGGCAGACCUUCACCGGCCACGAGUCUGACAUCAAUGCCAUUUGCUUCUUUCCAAAUGGCAAUGCAUUUGCCACUGGCUCAGACGACGCCACCUGCAGGCUGUUUGACCUUCGUGCUGACCAGGAGCUCAUGACUUACUCCCAUGACAACAUCAUCUGCGGGAUCACCUCUGUCUCCUUCUCCAAGAGCGGGCGCCUCCUCCUUGCUGGGUACGACGACUUCAACUGCAACGUCUGGGACGCACUCAAAGCCGACCGGGCAGGUACGUGGCCAUGGGGCCUUUCUGUGUCUUGUGGACAUUUACGUGGUAUCUUUAGAGCAAACACAGAGUGGUUGCAUAAGCUGCAGUGUUUUAGUAUCGGUGGGACUGUGGCAUGGCGUAACAGGAGUGACAGUCGCAAACUGAUGGCCCAGCUCUGACCCUCCAGGCAAGUGGACUCCGAGGAGUACCAGCAGAUCUUCCCACAUGCGUGGGGGAGGGCUCUGGGGAGGGUCAGUGGGCAGGAGAGGGUCAGCUGUGCAGGCUCCAGGGCCCAGCCCCAUGCUUUCCCCUCUGAACUCUGCUUCAGGGGGAGGAGUUCCAUGCAGGGACACCUCUGGGUGCCGUUACAGUUAACAUAUCAAAGGCAAGCGUGUUAUUGCCAGGUGUAUGAAAACACUAGAUGUACAAAAGAUGAGACUUCCUUACUAAAAAUGGUCAUUUGGGCAUUUGAAUUUGAGAACUGUUGACACUUACAGACUUAGAUUCAUUUGUCUCAGUACCUGGGAGGACAGAAGGGAGCAUGGCUCCAGGUCUUGGCCCUUACCGGGGCUUCCUGCUUCUGGAUGGGUGCCACUCCCACCUCCUGGUUAAACACAUUUCUUUUUCUCCCCAGCCUGGGGGGACCAGAGUGGAGCCAUUUCCAGCCAAGUCUCACAGUCACAGUGCUGUUGAAGGGCGGUGGAAGCCAGCCCAGGCCUUGGCAGAGCACACGCCGGCCCCUGUACUCAGCUGUGUGGUGGCUGCAGGAGGUGGAGGAGGGUGGCUGAAAUGGGCCUUCAGAUCCCCCUGGGAGGAAGUGGAGCUUCUGGCUGGUGAUGAUCCAAGCCAAGGUUAUUGGGAGUGUUGACAGAAGGCCCCUUCAUCACAUGACAGUGACAGUGCAGUGCCAGUGGUCUCAGCCACCAUCGCUACUCCUGUGUUCUGUGCCUUGUGCUGGGCUCUAGGGAUCACAGACAAAGGAAAAACGGCUCAUGCCUCUAAGCUCCUGUGUUACAGAUUGCUUUGAGAUUGGGGUGGUUUUGAUUUUUUUUUUUUUUUUGAGAUGGAGUCUCGCUCUGUCGCCCAGGCUGGAGAGCACUGG
rnacentral:sRNA from 1 species